GGAGUCCGUGUUAGGGGCCCCCAAGCAGAGUCUGGAAAAGGGGGAUGGGAUGUGGGUGUGAAGGGAUGCAGCCCCCCCAAAAGAAAUCGGGGUGAAUCAGAAAUACCUACUAAUGAUGCCCCAAUGCAAAACCUGAGAAGAGAGAGGGGGAAAAGGACAAGCAUAUAUUUGUCUAAAAUCGGGAAAAAGGAAAAACCAUGAAAAAUCGAGGCAGAAACACAUACGUUGAGGUCUAACCACGAACGAUAAAGGUGGAAGAAAGGACUUUUCUGCCUGCAACACCCAAGUACUAAGCUAAUUUCCUUAAUAAACGAAGAGCUAUUGGAAACCAGCAAGGGAAAGACAAAAGCAAACCAAAAAGGGGGCAAAAGAGACUGCAAGUCACAGGACAAUACAAAUGGCUGGAAGAAUCAUGACCUGACUGUCUGCAUAGCGAAACGCCAACCUGAGAUACUGGGUGAAGGCGGUUUAUGGCAGCGCGCUGAAUCGCAUGUGGUCACCCACCAUUGCAUGAAUCCACUGCAUAGAAUAGCAAGAGAUUGCAAGGGGAGUAAGCGGGUAGAUUACCAAGCCCGCCUGUGAUAGAAGACAUCCCUGUCACCAGGAAAAAUAACGGGGGUAUCGCUGCCAUAAAGGACCUGAAUCGUAAUAGAUCCAGUGAAAUAAAGCCCGCUGCUGAAGUUUGUAGAAACGGAAUGUGUACAGUGCCAUUUUCCUGAGGCUAUAUGACCUGUGACACCAUAACAGGCUGAAGGCUCAAGCAGAUGAGAAUUCCAACUGCUCCCUAUCAAGUCUGACACCGAUGACAUUUGCAGAGAUGUAAAACGAUGCUACCAGUUUUGACAUUUGGACUCCUGUUUUAGUGAAAUCCAAGAGUCCCUAACCACCUGGAAGAACUAACAGGUGGUGCACACCUUUAACCCCAGCAUCUGCGAGGCAGAGGCAAGC